CGGCAAGAUGGCGGCCGGCGGAGCGGCAGGUCCCCAGAUGCCACGCGGUUUCUCGCUGUUCUGCUGUUUGCUCGGUAAAAACUACACUGUUCUCAGUGGCGUGCGAUGUGAACUGUUGGAUCCUGAAGGAUGAAAAAUUCUUAGCCCGACCGUAGCCCACGUGUGUUUAUCCACAAGUUCUGUGCAGAGCUUCUUACAGUCCCAUCUGUUCACAAACCGGGAAGAAGUGAACUGUUCCGCUGGAGAACUUUCUGCCCACGCAGCUUUGUCACCAGUCCGCUGCGGUCCUGGGGCCGGUUGGUUGCACCAUCUCGGCG